rnacentral:rRNA from 1 species
GAUGAUCGCUGGCGGCGUGCCUAAUACAUGCAAGUCGAGCGAACGGACGAGAAGCUUGCUUCUCUGAUGUUAGCGGCGGACGGGUGAGUAACACGUGGAUAACCUACCUAUAAGACUGGGAUAACUUCGGGAAACCGGAGCUAAUACCGGAUAAUAUUUUGAACCGCAUGGUUCAAAAGUGAAAGACGGUUUUGCUGUCACUUAUAGAUGGAUCCGCGCUGCAUUAGCUAGUUGGUAAGGUAACGGCUUACCAAGGCAACGAUGCAUAGCCGACCUGAGAGGGUGAUCGGCCACACUGGAACUGAGACACGGUCCAGACUCCUACGGGAGGCAGCAGUAGGGAAUCUUCCGCAAUGGGCGAAAGCCUGACGGAGCAACGCCGCGUGAGUGAUGAAGGUCUUCGGAUCGUAAAACUCUGUUAUUAGGGAAGAACAUAUGUGUAAGUAACUGUGCACAUCUUGACGGUACCUAAUCAGAAAGCCACGGCUAACUACGUG